rnacentral:rRNA from 1 species
GAUGAACGCUGGCGGCGUGCCUAAUACAUGCAAGUCGAGCGAACGGACGAGAAGCUUGCUUCUCUGAUGUUAGCGGCGGACGGGUGAGUAACACGUGGAUAACCUACCUAUAAGACUGGGAUAACUUCGGGAAACCGGAGCUAAUACCGGAUAAUAUUUUGAACCGCAUGGUUCAAAAGUGAAAGACGGUCCUGCUGUCACUUAUAGAUGGAUCCGUGCUGCAUUAGCUAGUUGGUAAGGUAACGGCUUACCAAGGCAACGAUGCAUAGCCGACCUGAGAGGGUGAUCGGCCACACUGGAACUGAGACACGGUCCAGACUCCUACGGGAGGCAGCAGUAGGGAAUCUUCCGCAAUGGGCGAAAGCCUGACGGAGCAACGCCGCGUGAGUGAUGAAGGUCUUCGGAUCGUAAAACUCUGUUAUUAGGGAAGAACAUAUGUGUAAGUAACUGUGCACAUCUUGACGGUACCUAAUCAGAAAGCCACGGCUAACUACGUG